rnacentral:misc_RNA from 1 species
AACGCAUAUUGCGCUCUUUGGUAUUCCGAAGAGCAUGCUUGUUUGAGUAUCAGUAAACACCUCAAGACCUUCAAUUUUUUUUGAAAGCCUUGGACUUGAGCAAACCCAACGUCUUUCUAUUUCAGAUCGAUGGCGGGUUGCUUGAAAUGCAGGUGCAGCUGGACAUUCUCCUGAGCUAUAAGCAUAUCUAUUUAGUCCCGUCAAACGGAUUAUUACUUUUGCUGCAGCUAACAUAAAGGGAGUUUGACCUUAUAUGCUGACUGAUGCAGGAUUUCGCAGGGAUCGUUACGAUCUCUGCUAAACUCGAUCUCAAAUCAAGUAAGACUACCCGCUGAACUUAA